AUGCAGAAAAAUGAUCUUUGGACUGAGCUGAAGUCAAAUUUCACCCUACCGCCAGAGGAUGAUCCAGAGAAGCCAGUUAAAGAGCAAUUAAUCAUGUCUUUUGCUCUUAAGAGGAUGGCAGAACUAUUCAGGAGGUGGAAGAAAGAGCUGAAUAAGUUUGUCGAAAAUAAUGAGACACCAGAAUUCAAGGGCAGAUAUGAGAAGAUCAGAGAUCACUGGCCCGCAUUUGUGGCCCACAAGACAUCGGAAAAGAGUAAGAAGAUGUCGGCGACAAACAAGCAAAAUGCUACGAAGAAGAAGCAUCACCAUCGCACGGGGUCAGGUGGCUACCUUGUAGCCCGGCCUAAGUGGGCCAACAUUGAGAAUGAUCUGGUUGAUAAAGGGAUCGAACCGGAGACAAUUAACUGGCCAGACCGUUGCCGGACUUGGUUCUUUGGGGCUGGCGGAACCUUGGACCCUGUAACAGGGAAGUGCAUUUGGACGAACGAUCAAAUGGACAUACCAGUCAGGAAGCUUCAGCAGUAUAUCGAAGCAGCGCAGCAAGGGACGUUCUUUCCAGACAGAGAGAACGACGAGUUCACAAUGACCCUCGGGAAUCCUGAGCACCCUGGACGGACACGAGGCAUGCCAGGCUCCAUUCCGUGGAAGGUUGGGUUUCCAGACGCAGGCGGUUACAAAUCCCAGGAGAGGAGGAAAAAAGUGCAGCAGACCCAAAUGCAGGCGCUGCAAGCAAGGAUACAAGCGAUAGAGGAACGAGAAGCAAAUCGCAGCAAACGAACUGCCGAAGCUUCCCCCGAAGCUACCCCUCCAUCUCAGCGGAGAAGCAGCGUGGCUUCCACCGAGCUGCUUCAGCCGGAGCAUGCCUUGACGGCUCCUGCCAGCUAUCCCGUGGAUGCUAUCACGGAGUCUCAAAAUUGCCACCUUAUGAUGCAAUGGAUGAAUUUGAAGGUCAAGGCGGCUGUUGGCUCUGUUUAUCCUACUGAACCCGGCGCAACUUUUCACUAUCGGUCGAUUCCAGAAGGAUAUGCUAGGGUGAUGGUGGAUGAAAUAAUGGAGGGAUUUGAGGACCUCCAGCUUGACCACCCUACCGGUGAAGGGGAGACUAGGCUGGGGUCUGCUCUGAACACUCCAUGCCUAUGGCGAAAGGAGCUCAUUAACCUUCCGAACUAG
rnacentral:rRNA from 1 species